AUUUCAGAAAGCAUUUCCUUAGAAUGAACACAUGAAGCUGAGUUCCUAGCACCUUCCCAUAAAGAUUUUAAUUGAGCUUAUAGUAAAGAAGCGCCGUAGUUGCUCUUGCAAGUUUUCUUGAGUUAUGGGAGCUACUUGCUUUCUUCCUUUUGCACCCAGAUCUUAGAUUCCAGAUUCCAGAUUCCAGAUCCUUUCUUAGAUUCUGGGUCCCAGACUUUUUUCUUAGAUUCUAGGUCACUGUAGAAACGCAGCACUGUUCUAACUCCUCUCCCGGGAGCUAAUCUCGCAAUGAAGGGACUACUCAGCCAGGUCAAGGAGUGACUGCCAAGGUUUUCUGCAAGAACUGACUUCUACGAGAAACCAAGGAAGAACUGAAGCAGGGGAAGGAGUUGAAGCUCCAAGCACAGGGAAAAUGACAAGAGGGUAAAGAAAUCAUGGCUGCUCUGGGCACCAGUGAGUAGCCGAAUACUGGGGCUCAAGGGUAUACUGGAGACCUUGGCUUUUUAUGUCCCUGACAUAACUUCACACUGCUGGAGCAAUGCUCAGAUUACUCAGGAAACACUGGCAAAUCUCAAGAUGCAGUUCAGGCUACUCCAUGAUGAGUGUGAGUCCCCAGGCUCUCUCUCAAACUAAAGAUUCCCCAGCCAGGCAACUCUAAAGAGUCUUCAACAAGGCAACACGAUUAUUCUGUGUGCUUAGAAGAGGGAUUAUAAAUGUCAGCUGUUGCUCUUUGAAUCCUGCUAAUUGAUUCAUUGACUCACUCAUCUUUCCCACAGGCAUGUGCUGUGAGUUGACUGUACUGCAUGACACUGGAGGUUAUAAAGAAAGAAAAUACUUGGGGCUUACUCUCUAUGAAAUAAAAUUCUAAUUCUUUCUACCAUA